rnacentral:lncRNA from 1 species
UAUAAAAUAAUAUUUAUAGAGUUACCGGUAAAUAAUUUUUGUAGCGUAAAAACUAAAUAAAUUCAUACAUACUGUAAUACAGAUCACCAAAGUAUAAAAUUUAAUUUACAGUGACACGUGGGCCCACGAACGACCAAAAGUAUCAAAAGCGAUAAACUUACAAUUUUUUAGGAUGCAAGUCCAAUUGUAGCCCUCAACAAAGUGAGCUAUCUACCGACUAUCCUGAGCCUGAAAUGGGUGGAAAGAAGGGUGGUGAGAUUAUAUAAUCCUAGUGAGUAAACAAAUAUCAUCUAAAAUAUCUAAAGCUGAGUAAAUGAAGACAGAUUAAAAUAGAUCAUCAUACUGUAGUUCAUCACCUUUCAACUCAUUUCAACCAAAUAAAAUCAAUUCAUAUAAAUUGAGUAAUCAACAUGGCCUAUGAAUUUCUUAAAACUUUAGCUCGUGCCAAAAUCAUUCUCAUACUCAGUUGUCAAGGAUACCUUGGCCUGGGGCUAUCCCAAUCGAGUCCGCCAAGGCUGUUGAAAAGUCAUGUACGCAUAAAUCAUGUUUUUAUUUUGAAAACAUAGUCAUUCCUUGACGUUGGCUAAGUUCACCCUCACGUGGUGGUUUGGCGCGAAGUGAACUCUAAAGUUGUACCUUGGGAGUUACCCUACACGCCUCUCCAAUCGAGGUAAGAAUAUAAUGGGGUUACCGUGCCCCUCUAAUAGGCUGGUCCACGGAAUCCGCCCACUGCAGCAAGCUAAACCCACCAAAUCAAUAAAAUCUCAACCGCAUGACAUGGCAAUUAUAUCNUCUCAAGGCAAAUUAACAUUUCAUAUAUUUUCAACACAAAUACCAAUUAAGCCAUUCAUGCAAAUAUUGGUCAUAAGCCAUUCGAUUCAAAUUAUGAAUUUACAACACAUGAAAACAGUCUCCAAUUACUCUAUUUUCAAACCAUUAUUCAAUUUCAAGACAAUGUUAUAAAAUCAUAUCAUUAAAUCACAUUUUAAUUAGAAAACACAAAGAUUUUACCAUUUAACUCAUUUUCCCAUAAAAUCACAAAAUCGGAUAAAAACCACUUUAGAUAAUUAAGAUGAUAGUAGGGUUACUCACUGUAAUGGGAAUCGAAUUCCAAGUACUCUGAUUCUUGAUCCUCGGGUACUAUCUCUUUACUUUUCCCAAAAUGCUCACUACCUUGACAUAAUGCACAAUAAGUCAUUUACUACAUUUGUGCUAAACCGUUGUAAAACCAAUUCAGGCUUUAUACUAAUGCAUGAAAUGGGAUGUAAAUUGUUCGGAUUAUCGUCUAAACACGAUGUUCUACACAAAUUCAAUUGUGUACCUAAAUAAAACGGUAUUGGCCUAAUUCAAUCUAUCACUCGAUUAAUUGGCCAAUAUGUCCAAUUUAACUCCAAUUAACUCCAUUUUUCUUCCAAUUCUCCAAACCAUCAAACACAAGUCAAAUAGCAUAAAAUUUAGCAAAAUUAUCUUCACAUUUUCUCUUGGGAAUUUCGGCUAUGGUGGGUGCAUCAGCACUAUAAUUUUUUCUACUUGAACUUCUCACCGUAUUCAUCAUUUCCUAACCAAUUCACUUGAAAUAAAAUCAAAUCCACCAUCCACACUCUACAUGGAAGAUUCAGCCACUGAUGGGUGAUGGGAUAAAGUGAAUGUUUCUUGUUUGUUUUUCAUGCUACACAUCACUAACUAACUAAAAACACUAAAAUACAUUGAAAUCUAACCAAAUCCAAGUUCAAAACUCCUCCCCCCAUAUCCGGCCAGCAAGGGUAUCCUCAUGCAAACUUGAUUCUCAACCAUGGAAAAUGAAAAAGAAUGCAUAGGAAAGGUAAAUCACAAGCUAGAAUUGAAAAAUCUUACCUUUUGUCACUUGAUUCUUUGAAAUUUUAUGAAUUUCUCUUGAAUUUCUUAGCUAGUUUUUUGUUCUUCUUCUUUUCUUUCCUUUUCUUCCUUUGGCCGGCCAAGAGAAAUGAG